rnacentral:rRNA from 1 species
GAUGAACGCUGGCGGCGUGCCUAAUACAUGCAAGUCGAGCGAACAGACGAGGAGCUUGCUCCUCUGACGUUAGCGGCGGACGGGUGAGUAACACGUGGCUACCCUACCUAUAAGACUGGGAUCACUUCGGGAAACCGGAGCUAAUACCGGAUAAUAUAUUGAACCGCAUGGUUCAUUAGUGAAAGACGGUUUUGAUGUCACUUGUAGAUGUAUCCGCGCCGCAUUAGCUAGUUGGUAAGGUAACGGCUUACCAAGGCGACGAUGCGUAGCCGACCUGAGAGGGUGAUCAGCCACACUGGAACUGAGACACGGUCCAGACUCCUACGGGAGGCAGCAGUAGGGAAUCUUCCGCAAUGGGCGAAAGCCUGACGGAGCAACGCCGCGUGAGUUAUGAAGGUCUUCGGAUCGUAAAACUCUGUUAUUAGGGAAGAACAAAUGUGUAAGUAACUAUGCACGUCUUGACGGUACCUAAUCAGAAAGCCACGGCUAACUACGUG